UACGAAGGGUGCAAACGUUGCUCGGAAUUAUUGGGCGUAAAGCGCACGUAGGCGGCUUUGUAAGUUGGAUGUGAAAGCCCUCGGCUCAACCAAGGAAGUGCAUCCAAAACUACAAAGCUUGAGUACUUAAGAGGAUCGCGGAAUUCCCGGUGUAGAGGUGAAAUUCGUAGAUAUCAGGAGGAACACCGAUGGCGAAGGCAGGUCUCUGGGCAUUAACUGACGCUGAGGAGCGAAAAGCAUGGGGGAGCGAACAGG
rnacentral:rRNA from 1 species